rnacentral:lncRNA from 1 species
GUACUGAUAUAUCUUUAGCAACUACCACACCAAAAUUCAACUGUAAAUUCGUCUUAGGUCUUGUGAUAUCUUGAAAACCCUAACUGUAGCUUCAAACCCUAGCUUUUUUACACCCGUGUACAACUUCCUUUAUAUCUCACAAAGUAAUUAUUCAAAUACUAUGAAACUUUGAUCUAAAGCUUCUUAACCCAAUUACACACACUUUGUCACGGACACAAAAUACAGACUUGAAAUCUAACAAGAAG